UACGUAGGAGGCAAGCGUUGUCCGGAAUCACUGGGCGUAAAGCGCGUGUAGGUGGAAGAGGAAGUCUGCUGUGAAAGCGCCUGGCUUAACCGGGCGAGGUCGGUGGAAACUCCUCAUCUCGAGGGCGGUAGAGGGGGGUGGAAUUCCGGGUGUAGUGGUGAAAUGCGUAGAGAUCCGGAGGAACACCUGUGGCGAAGGCGGGUCUCUGGGCCGUAACUGACGCUGAGGAGCGAAAGCAUGGGGAGCGAACAGG
rnacentral:rRNA from 1 species